UUAGCCAAAGCAAUGAACUCUAAAGCAACUUCAUGUAAUGUCAAAUAGUCUACCUUAGCAACUGCUCUCUUAUUUUUUGAUUUUUUUUCACUGACAGAGAGAAUAAAUGUUCUCCAUAGAAGCAAGAAUAUUGAUGGGCUGAAAACUUGUUCCUCAGCCAUCCAAAACUGGAAGUCUUUUGUGAGCCCUUUGGCAGGUGAACAAAAAUGGAUGUUGCAUGCCUCAUGAGCAACUAUUAGUUGUAGGCUGGAGUACUUGGUUCUUCUUUAGUUCAAACCUCAAAGAAAGACAACUCUAGAAAAUUUAAAGUCUACAGGAAGAGAUCAACUACUCAGCAAAUGACAUGGAGAGUACACUGAAUACUGAUGUCCCUGUACUGCAACCACUACACUCAAAAAACUCCUGCUGAAGUGAAAAGAAUUUUGAAUUCAAGUUUUUGU